CGCUGGGUAACGUGUGCACUACGUUCUGCACGCAUAGUGCAGUGAACGGAGCGUUUAAACGUCGAAAUAUCUUAAACGGGAGGGAAAUAGUGCAUAAUUUUCGACGAAAUCGACGAAUGAUUACGAUUUGCGUGUUUCUGGGUUUGUUUCGGCGCUGGAUAACGUGUGCUCUACGUUCUGCACGCAUAAUGCAGUGAAAAUGGC
rnacentral:misc_RNA from 1 species